rnacentral:rRNA from 1 species
UAAGGCGACUAUACUGGAGGUGCUCCACCCGUUCCCAUUCCGAACACGGAAGUGAAAUCCUUCAAGGCCGAUGGUAGUCGAAAGGCGAGAGUAGGUAGUCGCCCUAC